UCACCUGUGCAACCAGCCCAGGUAAGGGUCGGAGGCCUGUCGACCCCCUCGCCUAUGACUGUAGCCUGGGCCUAGUUGGGCUCUGGCACCCAGUGAAGGGCCAGGCCUGGCCCUACAGUGAGGAGCUGCAGGUCUUUUCUCUGCUUGUCAAGGGAGAAUCUCCUCAAGGCCCCCGACACACCAUAAUGCAAAGCCCAAACCCAGGAGGCUUGGGAGUCCCCAGUUCCUUCCUUCUAGGAUCAGGAGAACCCCAAAAGGGCUAGUUGGGGUGCUGUGCUUUCCCUGAGCUACUAGCCCCUUCCUUCGUCUCUCCCUGGGUUGUACUCAAGCCUCUGCUGCCACAGCCAGUAGGUUACUGCUCCCUGCCUCAGGGCUAGCGCUUGCCCACAGAACUCUGCUAGAUGGCUGAAGGACCACCCAAAGACUCCAUCCCCACUUCUGCUGAGGGGCCACAGCAUCCCCUGCCUUUCUGCAGCUCCCAGGUCUUGCUGGACCUACCUCCAGAACAUCCAGAACUGGUCCCUUUUCUCCACCGUCAUAGCCACCCCUUAAUUCCAAGCACCAGCUCUCAUUUGAAUUCCAGCAGUGGCUUCCUAACCACUCAUUGGAGAGUGAUUCCAUCCUCGACCCACUGAGGUUUAUUCUCCACAUCUCAGCCAGAGAGAGUUUUUAGAAACUCAAGUCAGACUGUGUUGCCUGCCUGCUUAAAGCCCUCCAGAGGCUUUCUGAUUUCCUGAGAAUAAAACCCAAACCAACCAGGCCAUGAUCUGGUUCUUGGCUUCUCCCCAGGCCUCUUCUGUCCCUGUCUCCCUUCCAUGAAGCUCCAGUCACACAGUUCUUCCCUGAGUUCCUCCACCACAAGCUCUUUCCUACCCCAGGACCUUUGCACAUGCAACUUCUCCCCUGCCUCCCUUUCCUGGAGGCUGGUUCAUUUCUUCCCUCAGGUUUCAGUUUGUCAUUUCCUCACAGAAGUCCUGCCUGACCAGUAGACAAGACUCGCUGCUGCGAGCUAUCAUAAAAUCUUGUUCUUUUCUCUGCAGAA
rnacentral:lncRNA from 1 species